GGGUUUGAUCCUGACAGAUUGAACGCUGGCGGGAUGCUUUACACACAUGCAAGUCGAACGCUAGCACGGACUUCGGUCUGAGCGAGUGGCGAACGGGUGAGUAAUGUCGGAACGUGCCUAGUAGCGGGGGAUAACUACGCGGCGUAGCUAAUACCGCAUACGCCCUUCGGGGAAAGCAGGGGACCUUCCGGGCCUCACUAUUAAACGGCCGAUAUCCGGAUUAGCUAGUUGAGUGAAGUAACGGCUCACCAAGGCGACGAUCCAUCAGCCUGGUUGAGACAGCCACAGCCACACUGGGACUGAGACCUGGCCCGAACUCUACGGGGAGAGCGGCGGUGGGGAAUUUGAACAAUGGGGAAACCUGAUCCAGCCAUCCCCGCCGGUAAUGCGAUGACCUUCGGGUUAGCAAAGCACUUUGGCAGGAAAGAAACGGCGCAGGAUAAUACCCGUGCAACUGACAGUACCUGCAGAAUAAGCACCGGCUAACUACGUGCCAGCAGCCGCGGUAAUACGUAGGGUGCAAGCGUUAAUCAGACCACUGGGCGUAAAAGCGAUACGCGAAGGCGGUUCGGGGGAAAGAAAGUCGAUGCAGGCUUAACUUUGGAACUGCAUUUUUAACUACCGACCAGAGUGUGUCAGAGGGAGGUGGAAUUCCGCGUGUAGCAGUGAAAUGCGUGAUAUGCGGAAGAACACACACCGAUGCUUGAAGGCAACCUCCUGGAUAACACUGACGCUCAUGCACACGAAUAGGGGGAGCAAACAGGAUUAGAUGCCCUGGUAGUCCACGCCCUAAACGAUAUCAACUAGCUGUUGAGACUGAUGCUUGGUAGCGCAGCUAACGCGUGAAGUUGUCCGCCUGGGAGUACGGUCGCAAGAUUAAAACUCAGGAAUUGACGGGGACCCGCACAGCGGUGGAUGAUGUGGAUUAAUUCGAUGCAACGCAACCCUUACCUACCCUUGACAUGUCUGGAAUCCCGAAGAGAUUUGGGAGUGCUCGCAAGAGAACCGGAACGAGUGCUGCAUGGCGCAAUAGUAGCUCAUGUCGUGAGAUGUUGGGUUAAGUCCCCAUAACGAACUGUUACCAAUGCGUUAGUUGCUACGAAAGGGCACUCAAUAGGAACUGCGGUGACAAACCGGAGGAAGGUGAGAUGACAUCAGGUCUCUGGCCCAUAUGGUGCAGACUACACAUCAUACAAUGGUCGGGACAGAGGGUCGCCAGCCGCGAGAGGCCGUCCCAGAAACCCGAUCGUAGUCGGAUCGCAGUCUGCAACUCGACUGCGUGAAGUCAGAAUCGCUAGUAAUCGCGGAUCAGCAUGUCGCGGUGAACCCGUUCCCGGAGUCGUACACACCGCCCGUCACACCAUGCGGAAUUAGGUUUUACAGUAGUUAGCCUAACCGUAAGGAGAGGGCGGUACCACGGCCAGUUCAUGACUAGGGUGAAGUCACGUAACAAGGUAG
rnacentral:rRNA from 1 species